rnacentral:rRNA from 1 species
CCUACGGAUUCAGCAGUGGGGAAUAUUGGACAAUGGGCGAAAGCCUGAUCCAGCCAUGCCGCGUGUGUGAAGAAGGCCUUCGGGUUGUAAAGCACUUUCAGUGGGGAAGAAAGCCUUGGGGCUAAUACCCUCGAGGAAGGACAUCACCCACAGAAGAAGCACCGGCUAACUCCGUGCCAGCAGCCGCGGUAAUACGGAGGGUGCGAGCGUUAAUCGGAAUUACUGGGCGUAAAGCGCGCGUAGGCGGUCUGAUAAGCCGGUUGUGAAAGCCCCGGGCUCAACCUGGGAACGGCAUCCGGAACUGGCAGGCUAGAGUGCAGGAGAGGAAGGUAGAAUUCCCGGUGUAGCGGUGAAAUGCGUAGAGAUCGGGAGGAAUACCAGUGGCGAAGGCGGCCUUCUGGACUGACACUGACGCUGAGGUGCGAAAGCGUGGGUAGAAAACAGGAUUAGAUACCCGGGUAGUC